CCUCACUCCUCCCUGAGACU
rnacentral:tRNA from 1 species